UUUCUGAAACAAUGUUAUAAAUUAUUCGGAAGGACAGUAUAUAGUUCACAUAUGCCGGGCAAAUUCCAGCUCAUAAUAUUCUUAAAGCAAAGGUCAUAUUUUGUUUAAUGGUUAUAUGAAACAAAAGAGUUUAAAAUGGAUAAAGGAAUGAACUAAGAAGUGCUCUAAUGUAUAAAUUAUAAAUAUAAAUUAUAAAACGUGCAUUACUUUCGGUAGGGGUGUCAAAAUGGGUCAUGACCCAUGGGUUGACCCAACCCAAAUUGAUCCAUUAACCCAAAUGAACUGUUUAUUUUUGAUCCAAUGGGUUAGUGUGUUAACAAGUUAAUGGAUUAAUGGGUUAAUGGAUAAACAAGUUAAUGGGUUAACAAGUUAAAUAGGUCUAUUGGGUUGGGUCAAAUCUGACCCAUUUAGUUUUUAAUUAAGAAAAUCUGUUUUAAUGAAAACAUAAAACUUGUGUUACAAAAAAAAAAAUGAAAACAAAAGACGUCAUCGUCUCUUCCAAACCCACGAUUUCAAUUUCAGUAAAGAUCUGAUUGUGUUCAAUCCUUUGUUCGGUGAUUAGGCUGUUGGGUUGUUCGAUCUUGAUUCAACUCUGAAGCGUCAAUUUCUAAAGAGCAGCGGCAUCACCCACAAAGGAUCAUCGACCAGAGCAGCAGCUAAACCUCCAUAAGCAGUGUCAUAUCCAUCACAUUCCGGAUCUUAUCAGAGCCAACAGCUGGUAACAGGAGUUUAGUGCAAUCUCUCUGGCCACUUGGGAGGGUACGCAUCAGGGUCCGAGCUCGCUAAGGCUUUCUUCGAUCAUAGAGACAAUGCUGAGUUGCUUGGCCCUUGUUUUGUUUUGAGUUGCUUGGCCCUUUUUUUGUUCUCUUCUUAUCAGUCUCUGAGUGGACAGCCCAGACAGAGCCUUUCCUGGGAUAUAUCUGGUAUACUUCUCGUGCAACCCUCUCGCAGUUGACAACGUGAAGGUACAAUCUUAUAUAAGCUUUAUAAGACAACAUGCCCACAUAAGACAACAUGUUUCACUUGUUCAACCAAAGCUUUCUCUGAAACCCUGAACCUCCCACAAGAACUGAUCUUCACCCAAGAGAUCAGUUUCUCACUCUCAAAAUCUAACCAAGUGAUUCAUACGUUAAAAGGGUUCAAAGAGACGACUUCACUUACCAGACAGUAACUCCGCCCAAACCUGCCCUUUCUUGAAGCUUCUAGGCAUCUUCACCUUCGGUUUCUUUCUCUUUAACACUGAUUGCAUUUCAGCUAAAGUCAUCAUCUCUUCAUCCAACCUCUCAGGAGCCUCUUUGUUGUUUCUUGAAGAGAGACAGUGCACCCAGAAGCUGAGUAUAUGCCUUGUAAGUUUUGAAACUUGUUUGAUUUAAACUACUUUUCCUUAGUAUAUGCUGCAUCUUUUGCUGACCCCUAAUGUUUCUUGUGCGCAUGAGUCUUGAUCAUCACAAGUUAAAGGGACCUUAUUUAAAUUUUAUUGUUGAUUAGAGUAACCCUCUCCUGCAUAACGUUUAUGUAUUCCCUUGCUAUCGCAGAGUGCUUCAUAACAACGCUUUAUAUGACUCAA